rnacentral:rRNA from 1 species
CGAACGGGUGAGUAACACGUGGAUAACCAACCCUUCGGACGGGGGACAACCUCGGGAAACCGGGGCUAAUACCGCGUACGACCUUAUUGUCCUUGGACAGAUAGGUGAGAGGGGGCCUCUCCUUGGAAGCUCUCGACGAAGGACGAGCUCGCGGCCCAUCAGCUAGUUGGCGGGGGUAAUGGCCCACCAAGGCGACGACGGGUAGCUGGUCUGAGAGGAUGAUCAGCCACACUGGAACUGAGACACGGUCCAG